AUGAUGAAGAGCUCACCUGGAAUGUUGGGGAAUGUGCUUUCUCUCAUCUUCUGGAUCAGAAAAUGUACAAUGUCAAGUUGGAGCAUGGAGUCCAUCAAGACUUCAUCGUGGUGUCCAGCUCCAUGUCCAGAUUCUCCAGGAGAGACCAUUUACCUCCUCUUUGAACUAAAAAUGCUCUUCUGUCAAGGAAGUGUGACAUCAACUACUUGAGAAGGGAUGAGUAAGAAAGAAUGUAGACAAGCAAUUCGAACUGAGAAGUGGAACAGCUUCUGCUAGGUACUUACUUGCCCAGUGCGGAGCCAGAUGUGGAGGGAAGCACAGAGCAGAGGAGCAGCACCUGAUGCUUGCCUUCGGGGGAUUUCUGGACUCAUUAAUCAUCAUCAAUUCUUUUACCAUCUCAUCUGGUAUGCCGUGAACCCAGGGCCCACAAGUGUGAACACACGAGGCAUUAUCCCUCUUGGGAAAGCAAUGUAUCACCACAGAGGAAUGAGAUCUUUGUAGCAAGAAUAAUAAAGUAAAAUAUUUCAACUAUCAAUGAGUAUAAUAGCCUGUUGCUAGACAAGGGUCUUUUGGUGUCAUAAAUUUUAGAUCAUGGCAGUUUAUGUAAGGAGGCUGAAAAGUACUCUGGAUGAAUAAAUAUGUUUUCAAAGGCAUCUGUCACUAUAGUUACACAGAUUGGAGAUCUCGGCAUCCUGCACAAUAAUGACGCAUUAAAAAGAUUAAACUCUAAAAUGGAAAAAUGUGUUCACAUUCUUCAUUACAAAGUUGUACUCAAUAUGCAAUUUCAA
rnacentral:lncRNA from 1 species